CUUCCUUCUCAUUUCCUUUCAGCGUGUCAGAUAUCAUAGUUGAUGUUGUACAAUGGUCCGUUUCGCAGAGAGGUUGACUUGUCAUUGCCUUUGAAAAAAGUAUGGAACUGCACUCACUCCCAUCAAUCAGAGCCUGGGUACUUUCUGUGACCAGAACCAAACACCAGAUUCCCAGGAUCAAUGAAAUAAAAUAAAGGGGAUCCAGGCACUCCUUGGUUCAAUACAGGCACUUUAUUGGAACCACAGACCACAGACUUGUCAUUGCCGUGACAAUGGGGAGAGUGUAAGAGUUAAAGGGGUUGAUAGCAUGCAACCAAAUUUCCAAACGCUACCCUGCCACAGGGCACUAAAUUAUACCAACUGAUCACCCUCAUCAUACCUACAUCACCCCAGGUUAUCAUUUAUACGCAGCCCCCACCAUGACUUUAU